rnacentral:rRNA from 1 species
GCUCCUCGAUUCAGCGGCGGACGGGUGAGUAAUGCCUAGGAAUCUGCCUAGUAGUGGGGGACAACGUUUCGAAAGGAACGCUAAUACCGCAUACGUCCUACGGGAGAAAGUGGGGGAUCUUCGGACCUCACGCUAUUAGAUGAGCCUAGGUCGGAUUAGCUAGUUGGUAGGGUAAAGGCCUACCAAGGCGACGAUCCGUAACUGGUCUGAGAGGAUGAUCAGUCACACUGGAACUGAGACACGGUCCAGACUCCUACGGGAGGCAGCAGUGGGGAAUAUUGGACAAUGGGCGAAAGCCUGAUCCAGCCAUGCCGCGUGUGUGAAGAAGGCCUUCGGGUCGUAAAGCACUUUAAGUUGGGAGGAAGGGCUCAUAGCGAAUACCUGUGAGUUUUGACGUUACCAACAGAAUAAGCACCGGCUAACUUCGUGCCAGCAGCCGCGGUAAUACGAAGGGUGCAAGCGUUAAUCGGAAUUACUGGGCGUAAAGCGCGCGUAGGUGGCUUGAUAAGUUGGAUGUGAAAUCCCCGGGCUCAACCUGGGAACUGCAUCCAAAACUGUCUGGCUAGAGUGCGGUAGAGGGUAGUGGAAUUUCCAGUGUAGCGGUGAAAUGCGUAGAUAUUGGAAGGAACACCAGUGGCGAAGGCGACUACCUGGACUGACACUGACACU